rnacentral:rRNA from 1 species
UAGGGAAUCUUCGGCAAUGGGGGCAACCCUGACCGAGCAACGCCGCGUGAGUGAAGAAGGUUUUCGGAUCGUAAAGCUCUGUUGUAAGAGAAGAACGAGUGUGAGAGUGGAAAGUUCACACUGUGACGGUAACUUACCAGAAAGGGACGGCUAACUACGUGCCAGCAGCCGCGGUAAUACGUAGGUCCCGAGCGUUAUCCGGAUUUAUUGGGCGUAAAGCGAGCGCAGGCGGUUAGAUAAGUCUGAAGUUAAAGGCUGUGGCUUAACCAUAGUACGCUUUGGAAACUGUUUAACUUGAGUGCAGAAGGGGAGAGUGGAAUUCCAUGUGUAGCGGUGAAAUGCGUAGAUAUAUGGAGGAACACCGGUGGCGAAAGCGGCUCUCUGGUCUGUAACUGACGCUGAGGCUCGAAAGCGUGGGGAGCAAACAGGAUUAGAUACCCUGGUAGUCCACGCCGUAAACGAUGAGUGCUAGGUGUUGGGUCCUUUCCGGGACUCAGUGCCGCAGCUAACGCAUUAAGCACUCCACCUGGGGAGUACGACCGCAAGGNU